CAAAUGUUCAAGGGGCUGAGAUCCUUAGAAGUAGUAGAUAGCUUCUGUAACCUAGGAGACCAAGUUAGGAGAGGUGGAGGAAGUUCUGAAAGAGUAGUUGCUAGGAUAAGAAUGGGCUGGGCAAAGCUCAGAGAGCUUCUACCUUUGUUGUUAACUAAAGACUGUUCUCUCAGAGUGAAAGACAUAUUGCCUGUGUACAUACAGCUAUAUUACAUGGCAGUGAAACAUG